UAGCCAAGGUUAUGGGGUGAACAAUGCAGAUUUGAGUAUAAAAUUAUUCAAUGGUGGUCUAAGUUGUAGUGCAUGCUUUGUGACCAAGAUCAAGUGUUUUAAAUUGCGGUUGCAAUUAAUGCGAUUGUGGUCAUUGCGGCCGUUGUGAUGCGGAUUGCGGCCGUUACGGUGUGAAUUAUUUUAUGAUUAAAAUAAUAUUUUUGAAUUUAAUGGGCCUGAUGCAGUCCGAUACUGUCCAAAUGUGGUCCAAUGCGGUUGUGUUGUAUCCCAAUGCAGCCACAUUAUUGUGAUUUGGAGUCACACCACAAUUGCGAUGUGAUGCGGUUACGGCGGUCACCACAACCACAAUAUUGCGGCCGCAUCACCUGAUGCAGCCUGCAAUUUAUAACACUGCCAAGAUCUAAAAUGGUGCAGCCAUGGGUCCCUAUUUUAUCUUCGGUGUAUUUAUCAACUUAAUUCUAGCAUCAGAUUUGAUGUGGUGCAAAUAUUAGUUUCUCCUGC